rnacentral:rRNA from 1 species
AUUGAACGCUGGCGGCAGGCCUAACACAUGCAAGUCGAACGAGUGGCGGACGGGUGAGUAAUGUCUGGGGAACUGCCCGAUGGAGGGGGAUAACUACUGGAAACGGUAGCUCAUACCGCAUACCCUCGGAUGUGCCCAGAUGGGAUUCGCUAGAAGGUGGGGUAACGGCUCACCUAGGCGACGAUCCCUAGCUGGUCUGAGAGGAUGACCGUCCACACUGUAAUGUAGAAACGGUCCAGACUCCUACGGGAGGCAGCGGUGGGGAAGAUUGCACAAUGGGGGAAAGCCUGAUGCGGCCAUGCCGCGUGUAUGAAGAAGGCCUUCGGGUUGUAAAGUACUUUCAGCGAGGAGGCGUUACCCGCAGAAGAAGCACCGGCUAACGCCGUGCCAGCAGCCGCGGUAAUAC